UACGAAGGGGGCUAGCGUUGUUCGGAAUUACUGGGCGUAAAGCGCGCGCAGGCGGCUAUCCAAGUCAGUGGUGAAAGCCCGGAGCUCAACUCCGGAACUGCCAUUGAAACUGUAAGACUUGAGGACGAGAGAGGUGAGUGGAAUUCCCAGUGUAGAGGUGAAAUUCGUAGAUAUUGGGAAGAACACCGGUGGCGAAGGCGGCUCACUGGCUCGUAUCUGACGCUCAGGCGCGACAGCGUGGGGAUCAAACAGG
rnacentral:rRNA from 1 species